rnacentral:rRNA from 1 species
GCUAAUACCGGAUAACAUAUUGAACCGCAUGGUUCAAUAGUGAAGGGCGGCUUUGCUGUCACUUAUAGAUGGAUCCGCGCCGUAUUAGCUAGUUGGUAAGGUAACGGCUUACCAAGGCAACGAUACGUAGCCGACCUGAGAGGGUGAUCGGCCACACUGGAACUGAGACACGGUCCAGACUCCUACGGGAGGCAGCAGUAGGGAAUCUUCCGCAAUGGGCGAAAGCCUGACGGAGCAACGCCGCGUGAGUGAUGAAGGUCUUCGGAUCGUAAAACUCUGUUAUCAGGGAAGAACAAAUGUGUAAGUAACUGUGCACAUCUUUACGGUACCUGAUCAGAAAGCCACGGCUAACUACGUGCCAGCAGCCGCGGUAAUACGUAGGUGGCAAGCGUUAUCCGGAAUUAUUGGGCGUAAGGCGCGCGUAGGCGGUUUUUUAAGUCUGAUGUGAAAGCCCACGGCUCAACCGUGGAGGGUCAUUGGAAACUGGAAAACUUGAGUGCAGAAGAGGAAAGUGGAAUUCCAUGUGUAGCGGUGAAAUG